rnacentral:lncRNA from 10 species
CGUGACCCUGGCUAAGCAAAUGUAACGGCCCCAUUGACUCGCAGCCAUUGGAGAACUGAGCUUAAGAAUCUUUUGGCGGUCUGGAAACUUGGAAAAAGAAAGGGGCAACGUAUCCCACUUGAGCCAAGGAGCCAACUCGUGAGUGUGGGUAACAAGCAGGGACAAAAGACCACCAGAGUCACAGAGACGCAGCUGCGGUGACACCGAGGUCCACUCGGCUCUCUUCUCUUCUGCGUCCUGCUCUAUGGCCUGGGAAGCUGAUCUCCAAGGAUCGCAUUCCUAGGGCUCUCUGGCCCAUGGGCUUCCCGUUGGGUUUGCCCAAUGGACAGCCAUGGCAGAAGAUCAAAGUGGCUGAGUUCUGGCGAUGGCUGCCAUCCAGGGUCCUGAGUCCCACCAGGUUUUACCCCUUGAAGUGAGAAAGAA